UGACGUGACCUGCUCCGCGGAAUGACGCCCACCUCGCGAUGACCGUGACGGCCAUCCGUCAUGGAUAAGACGCACCCCACAGCCCCCGAAGGGAUGCUCCUUCAGCUACAUUUAUAGGAAGCAGCUUCCAUUGUUCAAAUGAGCGCCCUACCUUUAAAGUCUCUCAAAUCAGUUGUCACCUGAUUUAAUUGUUCCAUUUGGCUUUGAAGUGCAUUAAUUCUGGAAGUGCAUUAAUUCUGGAAUUAAUGCACCGUGUGCAUGCAAAGUGAUGAAAGGUGAGAGAAGCAUGACAUUCAACUGUGUGGAACACAAAAGUAAGAAAAAUGUGGCGACUAAGCAACAUAAUAAUAAAUGGUGAUGGUUAUUGUGUAAGCAUCAAGAUUGUAAAACGUGAACAUAAAACUGCCAAAACCUGUUUGUUUAAGCAAGACAACGAUGCAAGAACAUAUGGAACCAGCGAGCUGAAAAGACUGAGCAUUUAUCAUCUCCAUGCACAGUACAAAUGAUAAGGUUUUCUUUUCUGUCCUUAGCUAUUGGGUGCAGAGAGUUUGUUCUUAGAGAUAUCUAUUUCUUAACAUGUCAAGCCGACCUCGAUUAAUGUCCCGAGAAUUUCCAGGAAGCCGAAUGGAUAAUGGUAUUUGGCCACCUUUCCUUUGAGUAAACAUCUGUUAAUAUCACGCCUUAUUUGGGCAUGAGGAGAGAUCUACCACGGCCUAGUGGUUUAAAGCAGGCAGCGUUCUGCUCUCUGAGACACAUGUUUGUGUCUGGACAGCUCACUCACACAGGCGAGCUCGGACAGGCUCUUCUCUGCCUCUCUGUCUCUAAUUUUGAUUAUACUGUCUCAUCAUAUCUAAUAAAUUCACAAUUAUUGAUUCGUACUGUAAGGCUGUGUCUGUUUGAAUUUUCUUGAAAAGUUGUGACCCCUGGACACACGGCGAACGUCGCAAGCAAACAGCUGCAUGGACGACCGGCUACCUCACCAACGGACCGCGGUAGGUGAGACACACUGCGUGUGUGAUUGUGUGUGUGUGUGUGGGGUGGUGGUUUCCAGCACUGGGGCCCCUCAGGGGACCGUUCCUCUUCAGCCUCUACACCUCGGACUUCACAUACAACACCAGCAGCUGUCACAUUCCGACGUUCCCCAAGGACUCAUACAUCGUUGGCUGUGUGUCUGAGGGGACCGAGUUUGGGUACAUAUUAGUCAUUAUAGACAUUGUGGACUGGUGUGCGCUCUACCACUACAGCAUAAACACCAGUAAAACAAAGGAGAUGGUGACUGACUUCAGGAGAACAACACGUCACACACCGGUGAACAUCCAGGGCUCAGACAUAGAGACCGUGGACAGUUUUAAGUACCUGAGUGUUCACUGGACUAAUGACACUGAUGCCCCGUACAACAAGGGUCAACGUGGCCUCCAACUUCUGAGGAGACUGAGGUCUAUGUGUUCAGGCCCACGUUAAGGACAUUCUAUGACUCUGUGGUGGCCUCUGUCGUCCACUGAGGAGACUGAACAAAGUCCACUGGACUCUGUGGAGGAGAUGGGUGAGAGGAGGAUGUUGGCAAAGCUGACAUCCAUCAUGGACAAGUAGCAUCCAAAUCCACCCUCUACAGUACGUCUGGACAAGACGUUUACCCUUGAUGUUAACCCUUGUAUUAAGACACUGUUUUCUGGUGAGACACUAUGCCUUCACCAUCCCCCAAGAUAUGGAGCACCAGAAACCCUUUCUUCUACAACAGGACUGUGCUUAAAACAACAACACGCAUUCCAGAACUCUACAUGCAACAUCAAAACCCCAGGGAUACAUUUAGAGUGACACUUAACGGAGUUCCGCUCUGUUUAUCUGUAACCCCAUCCACGGACUGUCUCCAUAAUUCUUACCAAGAUCCUCUCUUUAGGCUCUGUCGUAAAAUUUGGAAUGUGCACUCACUAAAGAAAAAUAAGAUUUCAGUUGGACCCAAAGUUCUGAAUUGGACACACGGGGACCUUCAGGUGUCGUGAAACUGACACCGUUGUAUUCAGUGGACAAUUUAAUCAAUCCAAUCCUUCCACUCAUACAAAACUAUAAUAACUAAUAAUUAUAAUUAUAAACAAUAAAUGGCUAAUAAAUAUAAUAAAUAAUAUUAAUAAAAAAACGAAAUAAACCAAAUGUUACAUAAAAGGCUUUGAAAUGUUUUGUGUCUGCAUAAACGCGAGAAGAGUGACUGCAAAUGUCUGAAAAACUGAAAACAGAUAACAAAAAACAAAACAAACGUUGUGCCUUUGUUUUGAUUUCUAUUUUUUAUUGCACAUUUGUUAUAAGUAUAUGGUUGUAUUCAAUCCUCUUUUUUGUGCUUUUUGGUGAAAUUACAGUGCAAACCAUAUGUGAACUUGUUAUUUUUUUGUAAAUAAAUAAAGCCUUUCCACAUUUGA